AUGGAGAACGUCGUCGUUGCUCCAUCCUCUCACAUGGACCCGCCACCUCCUAGACCUUCAUUGGCCCUCGUCGACGCGCUCGCUGCCGUCCUCUCCCGUGCCCCCGCCUCCAAGAGGUUGAGCGUGGCUGUGAUUUGGUUUUGCAAACCCACGAUAGCAAUGAUGGAGGAAGGUUCAUCAUGUGCACCUGAAUGUGAUGAGAACAUAAAGCCAACUAUUGGUUUCCGAACAAAGAAGGAGGAAGAACAGAAGAAGGAUUUGAAUGGAGAGAAGAUAAGGACACAUGCAAGAAAAAUCACAAGAUGUGGUUGUGAGGCCAUGAUAACUGUCAAGCGCAUGCAAGAUGGCAAGUACAAUAUAUCAUACUUUCAUGAAGAACACACACAUGAAUUUGUCACGCCUAGCAAGCAGCAUUUAAUCAAGUCGAAUAGACAAGUAAGGCCUUUCAAUUGCUUCGUGUUGGUGAGGGAAGGAUUUGAGUUUGUGGGGUGCACAAAGAGAGACCUGCAGAAUUAUCAUCGUGACAUGAGAAGUACUUUCAAGGAUACAGAUGCUCAAAUGUUCAUUGACAACCUCAAAAAGAGGAAGCAAAUCAAUCCAGAAUUCUUCUUUCAUCCUCUGACAUGUGCAACCGCGUCCUUUGACAUCUGCAAGACGCCGUGCCGGUACCUCUCAAGGUGCAAAACGUCGCCUCUGAUGGUACCUCUCCAGUGGAAAUUGAGAAUCCAAACUAGGCCUCGCUGCGACGAGGAUCACGGAGAUGUCAGGGUCGAUUGGAGCACGGUUGGCAGGCUUGCUAUUGUCAUCCACGACCAUUAUAUUUGUCCGACUAGCGAGCCAUGGGUUCGCAGCCUCCAGGAUACUCCCCUUCCUGCAGUGCUAAGUGUCCGCACCACAACCUCCUCGAUCACAUUGGUAAUGCAACACCUAAGGAUUAAUAUGCUUGUGCAAGUUGUCGUUCGACAUCGGCCUGUACACCAGCAUCAAUACAUCUCAGUGGUGGUGCCAUCUCUUGGUGGUCAUGAGCAUAAGCACUUCUAG
rnacentral:rRNA from 1 species